GAUGAAUGCUGGCGGCGUGCCUAAUACAUGCAAGUCGAGCGGUAAGGCCCUUCGGGGUACACGAGCGGCGGACGGCUGAGUAACGCGUGGGAACAUGCCCCAAAGUGAGGGAUAACGCACCGAAAGGUGUGCUAAUACCGCAUAUGGUCUUCGGAUUAAAGGAUUUAUCCGCUUUGGGAGUGGCCCGCGUACGAUUAGAUUGUUGGUGAGGUAACGGCUCACCAAGUCGACGAUCGUUAACUGGUCUGAGAGGAUGAUCAGUCAGACUGGAACUGAGACACGGUCCAGACUCCUACGGGAGGCAGCAGUAAGGAAUCUUCCACAAUGGGCGAAAGCCUGAUGGAGCAACGCCGCGUGCAGGAUGAAGGCCCUCGGGUCGUAAACUAGCUUUAUGAGUGAAGAAUAUGACGGUAACUCAUGAAUAAGCACGGCUAACUACGUGCCAGCAGCCGCGGUAAU
rnacentral:rRNA from 1 species